GUUCAGUUCCCCACCCACACAGUGCAGGUUCAAUUUUUGAGGACUCUGCAGCUUUACUCAUCUUAUGGGGACAAAUCAUUGGAUGUCUGAUGAAGCUGGAAGGCUUUAUUUAGAGAAGGAAUUGCAUUUUGAGGAGAGGAAUGCUCCUUGGUGUUGGAUAAGCUGUAUGACAUUGCUUAGAGCCACAUCAGCAUUCAGUAGGGAAUCAGGUGAUGGUAGAAUGGAAAUUCCUGAAGAAGUUUUUUCUGAAGGCAAAGGUGACCUCUUUUCAGCAGCGUGUUAGUUGGUAUGGCACAGACAGCUGCUGUGACUGCAAGGAAACCAAAUGAAACCAGGAGUUGGGUGCUGCAGUGCUGUGCCUCUGAGAGUGGGGAUGCAGGAGAGUGGUGUCACCUCUACAGCAAGGUUGGAGGAGUGAAUGCAGUUCUGCUUUCCACAUCUUGGAGAGGAUGCUGCAAAACUGGAAAGGAUGCCGGAAAGCGCCAUAGUAAUGAUAUGUGCACAGGAAAAUGUACCUUAUGGUUUGAGAUUCAUGAAGUUCCAUCUGUUUAACUUAUCAGAAAGAGAUUGCGGCUUAAAAUGGAUCACAAGGUUUACAUACUUCUGUGUAGAAUAAAUACUAGGUAAAAAGGUACUGUGUGAUUCCC
rnacentral:lncRNA from 1 species